AUUUCAGGUCCGUAUUGGAAGCCUUGACUCUGGCCCAGACAUUUCUGCUGUACCUCAUGUAGGGUGAGCCCAGGACCUGCCACACUGUGCCAGCCUCGCCCAAGCCACCCCCCAGCCAGGACGCGGUCUUUCCUGACUCAGCAGGCUGAGGCACCUGAGGCUUUCAUUUUAAUUAUGAACCACUUCAAAGCCUUUCUGGAAGCAGUCUCUGCAAUAACCAACCUGGGUUCUCUCCUAAUGUGGGGAUUGUCCUGGAGCCCAGGCCUUCCAAGGCUCCUCCGCCCGCCAACAUCACCUACCUCAUCUUCCUCUUCAGCACAUCCCCAACAUUGUCUAAGCGGUAACUCACCUGAGCAAAGCACUUGACACGGAUUCAUUCAUUUACUCCUCACAACAACCUGAUGAGGUCCCAUAGCUGGAGAGUCAUCGCUGCAGCAAGCUCUUGAGUCAGACAAGCCUGAGUCUGAAUCUCACUGCUUUGUGGUCUUGGGCUAGUUCUUGACCUUUCUGAGCCUUAAUUACUUAAAGUGGAAAGUGAGAUAAUGGCAGCUAAUUCUAGAUGUUGAGUCAACUCCAUUUUGCAACCACUACAGUAGUGAUUGAUUCUGAAAAGAAUCAUCAAUGGAUGCUAAAACUAUUGGGCAAAAAUUUGCUGGGGAAUGGACAGUCUCAAAGUAUUUUUCCACAGAGCACUGAUUAACUUCAAAGGGGAAAAACAAUAACCUUUACAAUGGAUAGAUCUGGCAGGAACCAUGUUAACCAAGUGAUCAAAGGUAGCAUCACCAAUAAUGGGGCAAACCGACAUCCUGUGCUUCCCCAUUGAUGCGCCGAGAAGGACACAGCAUUGCUCAUGCAGCAUCCUUGUCAAAAAUGCGUAAACGGAAUCUAAUCAUGAGAAAACUGCCAGACAGCCAAACUCUUCAGAAAUGUCAAUAUAAUGAAAGGCAACAAAGAUUGAGAAUAACUUUACCAGGUUAAAGAAAACUAAAAAGAUAUGACAACUGACUGCAACGCAGAAUCCUGGACCAGACCCUGGAUCUGGUCAAAAGAAAAAUGCUUUAAACGACAGUAUUGGGACAAAGGGUAAAAUUUGAAUGUGGAUCAUGUAAUAGAUGAAUAAUAUAUUGUAUCAAUGA
rnacentral:lncRNA from 1 species